AUCUACAGCCAUACCACUUUGAACAUGCCCAAUCUCGUCUGAUCUCGGAAGCUAAGCAAGGUCGGAACUGGUUAGUAUUUGGAUGGGAGAAUCUCAAACAAGUUAGACACUGAGAGA
ensembl:rRNA 5S_rRNA 5S ribosomal RNA